GUGUAAAUUUUAUAUUUUAUAAAACAAAUAACAAAACAGCCCAAAACCCCCCUUUCCACCACCUCUCCGACUCCACUGCCACCACUGAUAUCAUAUGGGAUGAUAAAUUGCCUCUCAAUUACCACCAUCUUGUUGACGAAUACCUAGUUAAUUACGAACCCUAGAAAAUUGGGGAAAUAUGAAGCUUAUUCGCGGCUGACCCGGCCUGUUAGAUUUGACGUCGGAAAUAAGGACUUUUGGUUGGAUAAAAGGACUGGAGGGGUAUGUUUGUCAUUUUCCUGCAAGGCAUUCACCAUUACUGGAAUUGAUCAUCGUGGAUACUGAAAUCUUAUUCAGACAAAUGAAUCAAGAUAUCAUACAAUUGCAUACCUUCAACAAAUAUGGUGGCUUGAGGUAGAAGGAGACGCCGGCUUUAAAUUUACAGCCGGGACGUAUUCCUUGUUGAUCGAGUUCCAGCUCAGCACACCUGAUGGUCAACAUGCUGUUUCAAAGUGUUUUGAGUCUGCGCGGUCGAUUUUUGUUUUUUUUUUCUCACACCUUCGAUUGACUGACGAUGGUAGAGGUAUGGUGUCGGAGGUGGAAUCCCAUGCAUUGUUUCACAAAAACUCGCCGUAGAUGAGGAUAAUUUCAACCUAUCCGGAAGCUACUGGAGUUGUUAAAACGAUGUAGGCUUAUUCUACCGUUGGAACACCUGACGUUUUGCUGAAGAAAGGAUAUGGAAUGGAGUGUGAUCGGUGGUCUCUUGGGGCUAUCAUGUAUGACAUGCUUGUGGGUUACCCACCCUUUUAUUCAGAUGAACUCAUGUCAACUUGUAGAAAGGUCAAAUCAAAGUUCGUUAUCCUUUAUCGUUGUUGUUAUCGAUGCUUAUAAGUUCUACGUUGCUUAUACAGAUAGUUCGAUGCUUAGGUCUCUAUAUCUGCUAUAGUUAGUUGGAGAGUUACAGUUUUUAGCUCAGUUUUUUGCCACCAUAUAUAUGGAAGAGAUGUGUAGUCAUUUGUUA